GGAGAUUAUACGCAGAGGCAAUUUCGGUCAAAUCAUGUAAAAUCUUAGUGGCGGACGGGUGAGUAACGCGUGGGUAACCUGCCUUACACUGGGGGAUAACACUUAGAAAUAGGUGCUAAUACCGCAUAAGCGCACGAAGCCGCAUGGAUUUGUGUGAAAAACUCCGGUGGUGUAAGAUGGACCCGCGUCUGAUUAGCUUGUUGGCGGGGUAACGGCCCACCAAGGCGACGAUCAGUAGCCGGCCUGAGAGGGUGGACGGCCACAUUGGGACUGAGACACGGCCCAAACUCCCACGGGAGGCAGCAAUGGGGGAUAUUGGACAAUGGGGGGAACCCUGAUCCAGCGACGCCGCGUGAGUGAAGAAGUAUUUCGGUAUGUCCAGCUAAAUCAGCAGGGAAGAAAGAAAUGACAAAAAAAAACCAUGAAGCCCCGGCUAAGUGCGUACCAGCAGCCGCGGUAAUACGUAGGGGGCAAGCGUUAUCCGG
rnacentral:rRNA from 1 species